AGCGAACGCUGGCGGCAGGCCUAACACAUGCAAGUCGAACGAACUCUUCGGAGUUAGUGGCGGACGGGUGAGUAACACGUGGGAACGUGCCUUUAGGUUCGGAAUAACUCAGGGAAACUUGUGCUAAUACCGAAUGUGCCCUUCGGGGGAAAGAUUUAUCGCCUUUAGAGCGGCCCGCGUCUGAUUAGCUAGUUGGUGAGGUAAAAGCUCACCAAGGCGACGAUCAGUAGCUGGUCUGAGAGGAUGACCAGCCACAUUGGGACUGAGACACGGCCCAAACUCCUACGGGAGGCAGCAGUGGGGAAUCUUGCGCAAUGGGCGAAAGCCUGACGCAGCCAUGCCGCGUGGAUGAUGAAGGUCUUAGGAUUGUAAAAUCCUUUCACCGGUGAAGAUAAUGACUGUAGCCGGAGAAGAAGCCCCGGCUAGCUUCGUGCCAGCAGCCGCCGUAAGAC
rnacentral:rRNA from 1 species